CAGCCGUCACCAGGUGUGUGUUAAGGGAGGACCGGACACGCGUGUGCCAGGGAGGAGGAUGCCACCACGCUCUUCGAAGAUGUGCGGAGUUGUCGUGCCUGAACGGUCACCGUAGCUGCCUUCGAGGAGGAUUUGUGCCUGCAUCUUAAUGUUCGCCAAGCCCAUUACAUCGCUGGUGCGGGACACACAACAAAACAAAUCUGAACCUCAGCGACAUAUUUGCUGGGAGAGAAGGAGGAUAAAAAGUGCAGGUCCUCUUCACAGGAUAGACCUUUUAUGUGUCAUGUCGACAAGGGUGUCUUUGAUAAGAUAUCCAAGCAGGCUGCAUGUGAGGUGAAUCAAGGUAACUACAUGAUGUAGUGAAGUAUAAACUCCUCUCCCUGUGAAUUUUAUGCCAGCUGGGCUUCAUUUUAAUGCUUGAGUCCUAAUAUUUCAUUUCUCCAAGCUUUUGAGUUCUAAUACUGUUCUGUAUUCUGAGGUCUUGAACAUUUGCCUGCACAACAAUGAUCUAUAAUAAUUCCCUUCUAAGCCUAGAGAUAGUUGUACACAUCAUUUAUUCAAUCCUAAAUUACUCUAUGCUCUGAAUUACUCCCGUGGUGCAUUUUAUGUCCCCCUUACAUCUAUAUCUAUGUCUUCUUACUCAUAUACAUGCUUUCCCAUGUAAUCAUCCUUAACAAAUGUCAUGUUCAAUCUGUAACUACUUAUCAGGGUAUUUUCUGAUUUUUUUUAUGUUGCCGCUUACUGAUCUUACGACUUGGAGAGGAGAAGCCAAGUAGCAGCAAUCAUGCAGCUGUGUCAUGCAAACAAACUGAGACUGCAGAAAGUCACUGAUUGUACAAAACCAGAAAAACAAAUUGCAGCGCAAGCAUGCAAAGAGACAAUUGCGCAAAUCAAACACAUAUUCAAGUAAUAAGUCAGUGAGAGGCUUUAUAUUAGGCGGUGUACUGCAAAAAGGAUCCCAGUCUGGAAAACUAGAUGGUGUACGGAUUCAGAGAUGAACAUGACGAACGAUAGAAGGUCGAUUUGGAUUAUUCUUGGUCCAUAACUAUCAAUUAUUCCACUGCCACACAACUGUGUUUGUGCUGGCAGGGAGAGAAGGAGAAGUAAGGUGUUGUGGGCAGGGACUGGCUGUGGGUACAAGUAAGAAGGCCAGAUAUGAGAUGGGGGAAAGGAUGCAUGCAGGAGAAGAGAACAGACUGCAACGAAAGGCAGUUUGAGAUGUAGCAGUGGACGCCUCUUCCAUGAUAUUCAGCAAUCUGCGUGUUCAGUGAUGCCGCACACGUCCUCUCAUCCCGUCACCAACGGCCUGGAUGUGGCAGCUGCCGUCAACAUCCCAACCGUCACCAGCACCACAUGUUGAAUGACAUUGGCAUCGUGUCACCGGGGCAGCAGCUCAACACCAGCAUUAUUCUGGUAAUGCAAGUCCCGUUCCAUCUCCUCUGUUUGCAGUCAUUGUUCCAAUAUUACUGGAGAUAAAAUCCAUUCUAGCUAUCCUUGCUGAAGAUCAUUUGGUG